GUGGUGUGCACAAGUCCAGUAACAGGACAGGACAAGCAAGUUGAGUGACCUAGUAUGCUCAUGAAUUCUAACAUUAACAGCCCUUGUUACUGGCCUGAGGGACCUGUUUUAAUCAUGUUAUUGAUGCAUAUCAUACUACGUGAUACAGAGGGCUGUGGCUUCCUCAGGAACCAAGGGUAGAGGAGGAAAUAAGCAAUAUGCUCUGAGUCAUCACCUGUCUGUCUUUGAGAUGGCCAAGAAGGGGACGGUGCGAGCUGCAUUGAUUUCACUGGUAGUGUGUGGACCGGAAACUCCUGCCUGUAUUUAUGAGGGUGAGGACUCAAGACUCCCUUCUUAACUCUAUCGCUGACACGUUGCAGAAGAGAGGUGAUAUAAUCCAAAGAAACCGUCUACCUGCUUUGUAAAAGUUUUCCAAGGCACCUAUCACUGCUGUUCGGAAAUAUCAUGAAAAGCAGGGGAAGCUCAGAAUCUGCAACUACAGAAUCUCACAGAGCCGGAGGAGAAGAAUAAACAGGUAGCAGCACCUCAUGAUUGCUAUUUGACUACAGGGCUACUACAGUUGGGAUUCCUGUUACACAACUCAACAGUCUGAUUUUUAACCACCAAGUGCCUCCUGUCUGUACCAGUCAGGACCCAGCCCACAGCUAUGGCAGUUUCUUUUCCCACUCAGCAAUUUGUUCACUUUUGUUCCUAAGCCAGAAUACAUUAUUAGGGCUGCCUAUGAUGUAUUCAGCUGACUCUUUGGCCAUUUGGCCUGAAUUAUUUGCAUGUAUGCUUGCAAGUAGAUAUAUAGAUAUAGGUGCAUUUUCAAAGCUGUGAAAAGAAGAAUAUAAACAUUAUAUACA